AUGAACGCUGGCGGCGUGCCUAAUACAUGCCAGUCGAGCGAACAGACGAGGAGCUUGCUCCUCUGACGUUAGCGGCGGACGGGUGAGUAACACGUGGAUAACCUACCUAUAAGACUGGGAUAACUUCGGGAAACCGGAGCUAAUACCGGAUAAUAUAUUGAACCGCCUGGUUCAAUAGUGAAGGACGGUUUUGCUGUCACUUAUAGAUGGAUCCGCGCCGCAUUAGCUAGUUGGUAAGGUAACGGCUUACCAAGGCAACGAUGCGUAGCCGACCUGAGAGGGUGAUCGGCCACACUGGAACUGAGACACGGUCCAGACUCCUACGGGAGGCAGCAGUAGGGAAUCUUCCGCAAUGGGCGAAAGCCUGACGGAGCAACGCCGCGUGAGUGAUGAAGGUCUUCGGAUCGUAAAACUCUGUUAUUAGGGAAGAACAAAUGUGUAAGUAACUAUGCACGUCUUGACGGUACCUAAUCAGAAAGCCACGGCUAACUACGUG
rnacentral:rRNA from 1 species